CGGGGCACGGGUGAGUUUCACGUAGGUAACCUCCCCCAGAGAGGGGGAUAACACCUCGAAAGGGGUGCUAAACCCCCCAUAUACUUACCGAGGGUAAUAGCUCAGGUAAGGAAAGAGUAUAAGGAGGUAACUCCUUAUGGUGCUCUGGGAAGGGCCUGCGGCCUAUCAGCUAGUUGGUGGGGUAACGGCCCAACAAGGCUAAGACGGGUAGCCGGCCUGAGAGGGUGGUCGGCCACACUGGGCAUGAGACACGGCCCAGACUCCUACGGGAGGCAGCAGCCGGGAAUUUUCCGCAAUGGGGGAAACCCCGAAGCAGCGACGCCGCGUGAGGGAAGAAACCCUUCGGGGUGUAAACCUCUUUUCUCGGGGAAGAAAGCUGACGGUACCCGAGGAAAAAGCCCCGGCUAAAUACGUGCCAGCAGCCGCGGUAAGACGUAGGGGGCGAGCGUUGUCCCGAUUUACUGGGCGUAAAGGGGGUGUAGGCGGGUUAGCAAGUCAGAUGUGGAAACCCUCAGCUCAACUCAGGGAGGUCAUCUGAUAAUGCUAAGCUAGAGGGCAGGAGAGGAGGGCGGAACUUCCGGUGUAGCGGUGAAAUGUGUAGAUAUCGGAAGGAACGCCGGUGGCGAAGGGGGCUUUCUGGAGUGUCCCUGACGCUGAGGCGCGAAAGCUAGGGGAGCGAACGGGAUUAGAUACCCCGGUAGUCCUAGCCGUAAACGAUGGGCACUAGGUGUGGGGAGUUAGACUCUCCGUGCUGCAGCAAACGCGAUAAGUGCCCCGCCUGGGGAGUACGGCCGCAAGGCUAAAACUCAAAUGAAUUGACGGGGAAGGGC
rnacentral:rRNA from 1 species